rnacentral:rRNA from 1 species
GCGUGCUUAACACAUGCAAGUCGAACGGUGAAGCCCAGCUUGCUGGGUGGAUCAGUGGCGAACGGGUGAGUAACACGUGAGUAACCUGCCCCUGACUCUGGGAUAAGCCUUGGAAACGAGGUCUAAUACCGGAUAUGUGACGUUCAGGCAUCUGAUGCGUCUGGAAAGAUUUAUCGGUCAGGGAUGGACUCGCGGCCUAUCAGCUUGUUGGUGGGGUAACGGCCUACCAAGGCGACGACGGGUAGCCGGCCUGAGAGGGCGACCGGCCACACUGGGACUGAGACACGGCCCAGACUCCUACGGGAGGCAGCAGUGGGGAAUAUUGCACAAUGGGCGCAAGCCUGAUGCAGCGACGCCGCGUGAGGGAUGAAGGCCUUCGGGUUGUAAACCUCUUUCAGCAGGGAAGAAGCGCAAGUGACGGUACCUGCAGAAGAAGCGCCGGCUAACUACGUGCCAGCAGCCGCGGUAAUACGUAGGGCGCAAGCGUUGUCCGGAAUUAUUGGGCGUAAAGAGCUCGUAGGCGGUUUGUCGCGUCUGCUGUGAAAACUCGAGGCUCAACCUCGGGCUUGCAGUGGGUACGGGCAGACUAGAGUGCGGUAGGGGAGACUGGAAUUCCUGGUGUAGCGGUGGAAUGCGCAGAUAUCAGGAGGAACACCGAUGGCGAAGGCAGGUCUCUGGGCCGCAACUGACGCUGAGGAGCGAAAGCAUGGGGAGCGAACAGGAUUAGAUACCCUGGUAGUCCAUGCCGUAAACGUUGGGCACUAGGUGUGGGGCUCAUUCCACGAGUUCCGUGCCGCAGCAAACGCAUUAAGUGCCCCGCCUGGGGAGUACGGCCGCAAGGCUAAAACUCAAAGAAAUUGACGGGGGCCCGCACAAGCGGCGGAGCAUGCGGAUUAAUUCGAUGCAACGCGAAGA